AUGAGAGACACACAGAGAGAGGCAGAGACACAGGCAGAGGGAGAAGCAGGCUCCAUGAAAGGCGCAGGCGUGGGAUUCGAUCCGGGGUCUCCAGGAUCACAACCUGGGCUGAAGGUGGCACUAAACCAUUGAGCCACCCAGGCUGCCCCAAAUUUUCCUUUAAGCGUGGCUUUAGUUGCAUCCCCAAAGUUUCAAUUUCAUAAAUUCUCUUUCAGUUUUCAGUAUUUUUCUGACUUCCACUGUGAUUUACCCCUUUGACCCUGGGCUUAUUUAGAAAUAAUGUUUAUUUCUAGUAAUAGUUUUCUUAUUAAUUUGCAGCUUUAUUCUAAGUUGUCAGAACACAGUGUGUAUUAUCUUCAUAUUUUGAAAUCUGUUGAAACUUGUUUUAUGGCCCAACAUGGAGUCACUUUUCAUAAAUACUCCUGUGUAUUUAAGAAUAAUAUAUAUGCUGCAUAUUGUGCGGCAAUAGGUCUCUGUCCUAUGGACACCAAUCUGAUCAAGCUUGUUAAUGGUCUUGUUCAAAUCUUUUGUUUUACUGGUCUUUAAGUGCCUUUUUUUGUCCAUUAUUAAAGCAGUUACAUUAUUUACUGGAAAUUUAGAAUUAUUAUACUUUGUUGGUGAAUUAAGUAUUUUAUCAUUCUGAAAUAUUUCUCUUUAUCUCUUGGAAUAUCUUUUGCUCUGUAUCCUUUCUCUGAUGUUAAUUUAAUCACUAGGUUUUUUUUUGGUUAGUGUUUCCACAAUAUACCUUUUCCUAUCUAUCUCUAUUUGUUUGCUUUCAACCAUUUCUGUGUUCUCAUAAUUCAGUGUGUCUCUUGUAAAAUCAUAGUUUUUAAAAAUAAACUUGGCCAUCGAUGUUUAUAUAUUAAGAAAAGCAUUUUGUCACUAUAUAUAUAAUGUAUUUUGUGAUAUAUAUUUGUUCCAAAAUCUACCAUCUUCCUAUCAGAUUUAUGUUCAUCUUGCCUGAUCUAGGUCCUUUUUUUGCCCUCUUCUUUUUUGCCUCCUUUAGAAUUGACUCAAUAUUUUAAGAUAAUUUUCUUCCAUUAACUUGGCAGUUUUCAAUCUUCUACAAUUUUUGUUGGAGAGAUUACCAAACAGGCAUUAUUGAAUGUCAAAAGCUAAUUAUCAGGGUGCCUGGCUGGCUCAGUCGGUAGAGCACAAGACUCUUAAUCUUGGGGUUGUGAGUUUCAGUCCCAUACUUGGAGUAGAGAUUACAUUUAUAAUAAAUAAAUAAAUAAAUAAAUAAAUAAAUAAAUAGAAUCUUUUUUAAAAAGGCUAAUAUCAUUCAUACUUUUACUUCUAAAUGCAAGGGACCUUGGAGUAAUUUCACUUAAACCAUCCUGAUUACUGCUGAGAAUCUAAAAAAAUCUUUUAGUAUUUACAUUUUUUUUUUCAAAGAUUUUACUUAUUCACUUGAGAGACAAGGAGAGAGCAUGAGCAGAGGCAGAGGCAGAGGAAGAAGCGGACUCCCCACUGAGCAGGGAGCCCGAUGUGGGGCUUGAUCCCAGAACCAUGGGAUCAUACCUGAGCUGACAGCAGAUGCUUAACCGACUGAGCCACCCCGGUGCCCCCCUCUCUCUAUUUUUUAACAUCAUUUGGUAUUCUAUUCUGUUUAUUUUUACAUUUUUAAAAAUUGAAGUAGAGUUUAUCAUACAACCAGCUAAUGACACAAGUAAAUUCUUGUAUCAGUUAAUGACAGAGUGCUGAGUUUUUUCCAUAACACACCACUUUUGCUGUUGGAGAAAACCAACAUGAGCUGGGGUCUCAAGUAUGCUUUCAUACCGAGAAGGAAAUGAGGCUAAAGCCCUUGUAAUGGUAGCACAUACAAGUCUCAUCAGAUACAACCUAAAGGGGGGGGGGGGGAAGAAAAGCUGUAACAGCAGGAGUGAGUUAUCAAAGAAAGAAGCUGAUGGACUGUUUCAAUGAGAACAAUGAAAAAAGUGGACAGGGGACUAGGAAAAGCGGAGGUUACCCUGUGAAAGCAUCUUAAGGUAGAAAGGUGAGGCUCUUGUUUUUUAAGUGUUUCAGUUUACAAAGUAUUUUCACAUACUGGACCAUGAUGAUGGUAAAGGGGGCAGGAGUAAGGGAAGGGAGGCGGCUGACUGUGCACCUCUGUCAGUGCCCUGGUGGAAAGCAGGUCCAGAAGGGAAGGGAUGGCCAGGAAGGCCUAAAGGCCAUCGUAAAAACUAAAUCCUAAAAAAAAAAAAAAAAAAAACAACUAAAUCCAAACAGAAGGAAAAAUGUUGUGGGAAAUGGAAAUUUUUUUCUGGAUUCAGAGAUUUUCUAAAUGGAGGAACCACUUCUUCUGUACAGGCCUCAACCGUAGUCCUAGAUGGGUUGGCAGGGUCUUUAUAGGAGUUGCUCCGUAAGUGCAGAGUAUUACUGGUCGUACCGGGUGUUUCUGUAAUGUAUCUGCUAAUGAAGAUACCUUCUUCAGUGUUCUGUUACCAGCAUUGCUUCGGAGUCCUAUCAAUUUAUCCCUUCACAUACUAUUUCACUCAUUUGAGAAACACUUAUUAAAAUUUAUGCUAGGAACUAAGGAAACAGAUAAAAGACAUGGUCCCUGCUGCCAAGAAGUUGCUUGGCUUACUGAUGGAAUUUCCUAGUACCCCAUGUUGCUCUUGGUUAUGCAAACAUUGGAUUCCUAGAUUUUCGCUCAUGGUUAUUCCAUUUAGAAAAAGAGGCCUCCCGAAGGCUGUUCAUUGAGAUGGCUGUUCAGGUACUAGGUAUAAGUGCAGGUCUCAGGACAGAAUCUGAGUAACAACUGGGGCCCUUAUGCAGUGACAAGCCUGCAUGGCUUUCGCUAAAACCGUGCGAAAACAGCAAAAUGACAUCUUAGUUUUGCUUUUAAAUCCUAAUGACAGAAAAGGGAGUCAAAGAUCUGCUCAGGAAGGAAGAAAAAGGCUGUCACCUUUUUAAUAUCAAAAUCGGACGGGGACAUAGGGAGUGCUGAAGUUCAGAUGGCGUUAUGGCUCACAAGUUAAUUAGCCAAAUCAUUAGCCAAAUCAUAUUAAGCAUUCAGUUCCUCAGUUCCACUGGCCACAUCCUGAGUGUUCAAUAGUCAUGUGGAGUUAACGGCUACCACACUGGACAGCACAGAUACAGCACAUUUCCAUCACUGCAAACAGUAAAUGGAAUGGGUCUCUUAAAAAGGUUGCAAGUGUCAAUGGAUGUGGGGGGGAAAAAAAAAGGAAUUAUAAUUCAAUGGAAUGAGAGGUGUUUUUUUGUUUUGUUUUGUUUUUAAGUUCACUUGGAACUUUCUAGCAUGUAAUUAAGUCAAACAAUAAAGAUGGAGAUACACUUUCUUCUGGCUUUGGGUGUUUGGAUGACCAACUGUUGGAACUGUGUCUGUGGGGUAUGCAAGACGCUGCGCCCCUGUGUCCAGCUACCAGAUGGGCCUGGGGUCACUAACUGUGUCGUCUCCAGGUCUUCCAGGCGCUGCUUGAUGGAAAAGGCCCCUUCAAAGCAAAGCACCGAAAUAAGGAUGCACAUUCAUCCUGCAAUUUAACAAUUGGCCUGUCUGCCUACUAUUGGAUUCCAUAAUAUGAGAGAAAUCCCAUUGAACAAGAGGGUCCUUUUAUUCACGUGAUGAGACGUAAAGGUCUGCCCUUGACCUGAUCACACGAGAGGCACAGCAUGGAGUCAUUCUGCAGUGAUUUUGCUAAGUGCAACUUCUCUUGCUCACAUUGCCAUAGUAUGCUUUUCUACACUCCAUUUACUUGCUCAAAAUCCAAGUCAAUUUGAUACAUUCUACUGUUAAUCUUAAAACGCAAGACAGAUGUACACGGAAGGGUGCAGUAUUUCUUGCAUCAUGUGGAUAAAUGAGACCAGUAACAAUGUCAAACCUGUAACUGCGGCUAAAUGAGAUUGGUAGGCGCUAGUUUAUGUCUUCUGUCUACCCCCUGGUGGAGGGACUCAUUACAAGUUGUAGCCAAAGAAGGAAAAAGAAAGAGAAAAAAAAGCAUGAAUUAUUUCCUGAGUAUCUAUUCAGUCCCUCCCUCAAUAAUCUAGCGUUGGCUGUUUAUAGGAGAUUGCCAGCUCCGCAGGAGAAGAACUGAAACCCAUUAAUUCCCUUUGAACAUGUUCUUUCCUGGGAAUGUCAGGAGCAGAACAACAGCGGGAGGGCUGCCCUGCCAAAAUGCUUAACUCUGAACUCAAGGGGCCAUCACUCUGGGUGCAAAAAAAAAAAAAAAAAAAAAAAA
rnacentral:lncRNA from 1 species